rnacentral:lncRNA from 1 species
UCUGUACCAGCGUCUUCCUCCAGCGAAGAACACAACCAGACGCCAGACGAAAUCCCAGCAGAAAUUGCGCUGCAAACUCGAAAAUCUCGCCUAACUACCCUGCAGAACCCAUGCCCUAGCAGCCUCAACGUCAAACCCUCACGUCCCCUUUCCCCCUUUUUCAGGGAUUUGCAAAUCCUUUCCACAAUUUGGCUUUGAAAGAGCAAAGGGAGUCGAAUUUAAAAUUUUAAAAAUCUGCCCGUUUCCUCCCCAAUUUCUAGUCCUAAAUCUUCUUCUAUAUAGUCAUCUCAUUUAGUCACUGAUUGAGAGGAGAUAGAGAUUAGGGCCGGGUACCACCGAAGCACACAAAUCUUUUAUUAAGAAAUAGGAGUCUUUGGAUAGUAAAAAGAGUUUUCCAGAGGGAUACGUCCUUUUCUUUUGUUUGUUGUUUUCGAGUUGUUGGUUCAUUGGAGUUCGCCUGAGCUCGUCUCAUUUGUGGUCGUAGAUAGCUCGCUUCUGCUCGUUCGUCUCAAAACGCUGCACUCCAAAAGGUAAUACUCAUUUCUGUUCGUAUCUUCGAUUUCAUGAUGUGCUGGUCAUUUGACUUUACUGUAUGAGACAUUGAAAUGUUGAAAUUUUCAGAUUUGUUUCGACUUGUUUUGACUGCAAAUCAGUGGAGUUUUGCUUGAUAGCGUUUGUUGGUAGUUAGAGUCGUUGACUCGAUUUUGAUUCUCUAAAGUUGGAUGAAUCUCCGUCUCGUUCAGUUUGGAAUAGUUUGGCAUUUAUUUGAUUUCGACUUUGAUCGUGUUGGCUAUUGACCUGUUUUCUUUAAUGUCUGAUUGUGUUUUCUUUUGGUUCUUAACUUGAUCGGAUUGAUGUCUAUGUCUCUUGGUAACUACCCAUGAUUUACAUCUUUAAAUUUCAAAAUAGCUAGCCCCCCGGUUGUAAGCGAUCUGCGUGUUCCCUCAUUUGGUUUCAAUUCUAUUUCUUGUCAUGGUUUAAAUGUUUGAUUUUCAGACGGUUGUUUCUCAUGUCACUUCUCUAUCGUAUGUGACAUUAGCAUUUCCCGACUUACCCAUUUAGACUUCUUGUUAUUCUUUAGGUUAAAUGCUCCAUAAAAAAUGGUUUCCUUUCCUGUUUAAUGUCCAUCCCUAUUUCAAAAUUUAGUCAUCCCUUGCUAAUCUCUUCUUGAUGCCUGUUUUUUUUUUUCUUCUAGUUUAGCAUGGACUGUUGACAUAGUUAUUUUGGUGCCUAAUGCCCCCUGGGUUCUAUCUGUGUACAUAUAUGCUUACUCAUUUAGUGGUAGUGUUAGCAUAUUAAGGGAUUUGGAUAUGCAUUUAAUAUAUAAUUUGUUGUGGACAUUUUAUAGUGUUUAUGCAUUUAGUAUCAACUAAAUUUGUCCUAACUUUCUUAGCCUUAACUGUUGGUGUCGUUUGUUAGCAUGCAUUUGUUUAUCAAAUAGGUUGGAUAGUAUAUGUAUUAUUGUGGAAAUUAAGUGCUAACAAUAGUUUAAUUAACCAUUUGUUUUAUCAUUAGCAUGGCUUGGGUCUUUGGAAUUUGUGCUCCUUACCUAGAUCUACAUUGUUUAAAUCAAUCGAGCCAAUUGCCAUAUAUUAGUUUAAGAGUUGCUAUGAUUUGCCUUAGGUAUAAUUGUUGCUCUAUUAUUUUCGGAUGCUAAUUGUUAUUAUCAUUUUGUUGCAUGUGAUACCAUCCGAGUCCUCUUGGACUUCAUUUGUCUUCCCUCCGCACUUUGAGAGGGCCAUAAAGGCCCAAAAUUCUUUUAUCGAGUCUGCCAACCUUCAAAAAUCGAAGAACAAGUCUUUGGAGUUGACGUACAGGUCCCAGAAAGCAGAAAAAUGGACUGUAUACAUCCGAUAUACACUAAUAUACACCCGAUGUAUACAAAAACGGGUUCAUAAUUAAACCCCCAAAAAUUGCAACAGGCCCAAGAAGGGCCCAAAUUUAAUCUCUCCUUUACUCUUAAAUUGUUUAAUUGUGAUUAUUUUUUAUGUGUUCUAACUUUAGAAUUAUCAAUUUACUUAAUUUGAUUCCCCAAAAGAUAAGUUAUUUUUUUGCGUU